AUUUAUAUAAUAUAAAUAGUAUAUUUGACUUCCAAUCAAAAAGUUUAAAUAACUUUAAUAUAAAUA
rnacentral:tRNA from 1 species